rnacentral:rRNA from 1 species
AUACCAGCACCCCGAGUAGUCGGGACGAUUAUUGGGCCUAAAGCAUCCGUAGCCGGUUCUGCAAGUCCUCCGUUAAAUCCACCUGCUCAACAGAUGGGCUGCGGGGGAUACCGCAGAGUUAGGAGGCGGGAGAGGCAAACGGUACUCAGUGGGUAGGGGUAAAAUCCUUUGAUCUACUGAAGACCACCAGUGGCGAAGGCGGUUUGCCAGAACGCGCUCGACGGUGAGGGAUGAAAGCUGGGGGAGCAAACCGGAUUAGAUACCCGGGUAGUCCCAGCUGUAAACGAUGCAGACUCGGUGAUGGGUUGGCCUCGCGCCAACCCAGUGCCGCAGGGAAGCCGGUAAGUCUGCCGCCUGGGGAGUACGGUCGCAAGACUGAAAC